ACCCUUGUGGAAGGACUUUUUCUACACUGGAAAUCUAGGAGUGGAAUAGCCGGGCCCCGGAGACACAGGAACACACUAGAAAUCUAGGAGUGGAAUAUUUGGGCCCCGGAGCCACAGGAAUGCGCUGGAAAUCUAGGAGUGGAAUAGCCGGGCCCCGGAGCCACAGGAACACACUGGAAAUCUAGGAGUGGAAUAGCUGGGCCCCGGAGCCACGGGAACGCACUGGAAAUCUAGGAGUGGAAUAGCUGGGCCCCGGAGCCACGGGAACGCACUGGAAAUCUAGGAGUGGAAUAUUUGGGCCCCGGAGCCACGGGAACGCACUGGAAAUCUAGGAGUGGAAUAUUUGGGCCCUGGAGCCACGGGAAUGCACUGGAAAUCUAGGAGUGGAAUAUUUGGGCCCCGGAGCCACGGGAACCCACUGGAAAUCUAGGAGUGGAAUAGCCAGGCCCUGGAGCCACGGGAACACACUGGAAAUCUAGGAGUGGAAUAGCCGGGCCCCGGAGCCACGGGAACGCUCUGGAAAUCUAGGAGUGGAAUAUUUGGGCCCCGGAGCCACGGGAACGCACUGGAAAUCUAGGAGUGGAAUAUUUGGGCCCCGGAGCCACGGGAACGCACUGGAAAUCUAGGAGUGGAAUAUUUGGGCCCCGGAGCCACGGGAACGCACUGGAAAUCUAGGAGUGGAAUAGCCGGGCCCCGGAGCCACGGGAACGCACUGGAAAUCUAGGAGUGGAAUAGCUGGGCCCCGGAGCCACGGGAACGCAAUGGAAAUCUAGGAGUGGAAUAGCUGGGCCCCGGAGCCACGGGAACGCACUGGAAAUCUAGGAGUGGAAUAGCUGGGCCCCGGAGCCACGGGAACGCACUGGAAAUCUAGGAGUGGAAUAGCUGGGCCCCGGAGCCACGGGAACGCACUGGAAAUCUAGGAGUGGAAUAGCUGGGCCCCGGAGCCACGGGAACGCACUGGAAAUCUAGGAGUGGAAUAGCUGGGCCCCGGAGCCACGGGAAUGCACUGGAAAUCUAGGAGUGGAAUAUUUGGGCCCCGGAGCCAUGGGAACACACUGGAAAUCUAGGAGUGGAAUAGCCGGGCCCUGGAGCCACGGGAAUGCACUGGAAAUCUAGGAGUGGAAUAGCCGGGCCCCGGAGCCACAGGAACGCACUGGAAAUCUAGGAGUGGAAUAUUUGGGCCCUGGAGCCACAGGAACGCACUGGAAAUCUAGGAGUGGAAUAUUUGGGUCCCGGAGACACAGGAACACACUGGAAAUCUAGGAGUGGAAUAGCUGGGCCCCGGAGCCACGGGAACGCACUGGAAAUCUAGGAGUGGAAUAUUUGGGCCCCGGAGCCACGGGAACGCACUGGAAAUCUAGGAGUGGAAUAGCCAGGCCCCGGAGCCACGGGAACGCACUUGAAAUCUAGGAGUGGAAUAGCUGGGCCCCGGAGCCACGGGAACCCACUGGAAAUCUAGGAGUGGAAUAGCUGGGCCCCGGAGCCACGGGAAUGCACUUGAAAUCUAGGAGUGGAAUAGCCGGGCCCUGGAGCCACAGAAAUGCACUUCUCCAACUUCAGACGCAGCCACGUUGUCUCCCAGUCGUUGCAGGAAUCCCACUCCCAUGAGUGUGGAACAGUUCCCUUAACCCUCUCCAGGUUUCUAUUUUGUUCAUAAACUUACUUAUUAGUCCAAAUUCUCCAGAAAAACAGAACCAAUGGGAGGUAGAGAGAUAUAAGAGCAGAUGGAUUAUGAACAUUGGCUCCUGUAACUAUAGAAGCUGAAGAGUCCCAUGAUCUGCUGUCUGCAAGCCGGAAAGAUUCUGGUGUUGCUGAGUCUGAAUCUGAGGCCUGAAGGCUGGUGAGCUGCUGGUGUUGACUGAGGAGUCCAAGACCAGAGAACCUAGAGCUCCAGUGUCCGAGGGCAGGAAAGGAUGGAUGUUCCAGCCCACGGAGAGAGAGGGAGGGAGGGAGGGAGAGAGAGAAUGUGUAUUUCUUUUCCCUGGUAAAGUUGAGUAUCCUGUACUCAGUUUACUGAUUCAAACAUUAAUUUCAUCCAAAAGGAUCCUCACAGAGACAUCCAUAAUAACAUCUGAGCAUCCCUCAGCCUAGUCAAGUCAACACGUAAGAUUAGCCAUCAUAAUUAUGUUGCUUUACAAGUACUGACAUAACGAAUUGUGAUAUCUUGUAGCAUAAUUUUCAUCAUCUUUUUUCUUCUUUCUUUUGUGCCUGUAUUUUUGUGACUACUUUAUGACCUUUGUUCUUUAUUAUAAGGCCUAGACAAUCUUGCCAUAUUUUGUAAAAAAAAUCCUGCUGAGAUUAUAAUGUGAAGGGCAUGAAAUCUAUAAAUUAUUUGCAGAGUUUUGAGAUCUUCACAAUAUUGAAUCUUUUUAUCCAUGAACAUGGUAAAUAUUUCCAUUUACUUAUGUUUUUAAUAUGCCUCAAAAAUUUGUAAUUUUCUCUAUUUGUAUCUCAUGAACAUUUUGUUAGUUACUUUCUAUUUUUGUGGGGUUUUUUUCUGUUACAUGUAAUGUUUCUAAGUCUUGAGUUAUUCUUUUUGAUGGUGCAAGGGAGUAUAAUGGAAUUUUAACUGUGAUUGAUAACUAUUUUAAUUUUUCCUAUUAACCUAUUUAGAAUAGUGCCUGCUCUAUAUUGAAUACUACAUAAAUGUUUGUUAAAAAAGUAAGGAAAGCUGCUCGUUCUCUAAGUUAACUCUCGGGUAGCUCGGGAAUGAUUACAACAUCCUCUCUUCCUAUCCUGCACUUUGUGUUCCCCGCUCAGUGCUAACAUGCACCUCCAGCAUAACACUGAAUAGAAGCUGGGGUCAUGAGCUUCCUUGGUUUCAUCUGAAGUCUUCUGGGGAAUGUUGCUUCCGUGUCACUCUGGGAUACAGCAAACAUACAGCAAAGUCUACACAAAUCUCUAGCUGAUAAAGAACAGUACAAGCAGCACCUGUGCCAAGACCCCCAGAAGGCGUCCCAUCUCACCUCACCUCUCCUGGUCACCAGGCGUCCCAUCUCACCUCUCCUCGUCACCAG
rnacentral:lncRNA from 1 species